rnacentral:rRNA from 1 species
GGGUCAGUAGGUUGGUCGUGCCACCGGUACGUACUGGUCUCACCGAUUCCUCCUUCCUGAAGAACCGUAAUGCCAUUAAUUUGGUGUUGCGGGGAAACAGGACUGUUACUUUGAAAAAUUAGAGUGUUUAAAGCAAGCUAACGCUUGAAUACAUUAGCAUGGAAUAAUGAAAUAGGACGAUCGAUCCUAUUUUGUUGGUUUCUAGGAUUGACGUA